GGCACACUACAAGAAAGCAAAGAAUCUCCGCCACAAUUGCGCCACCAACGACACAACAAGUACAUUGCCGGGAAAGUUUGGACAUGACAGCUUCCGAAUCCACUUCAAUGUCCACGUGCCAGACUCCAUGAUGGAAGCACCAAUCACACGCAUCCCGGAUGACAAGGACCACCGGGCAAUAGGGGUCAAGGAACCCCGGAUACUUACUCCCAAUUUCCUAUAAGACCGUCCUAUCGACAUUACGAAUUACCAAACUCAC
rnacentral:lncRNA from 1 species